rnacentral:rRNA from 1 species
AGAGUUUGAUCCUGGCUCAGGACGAACGCUGGCGGCGUGCUUAACACAUGCAAGUCGAACGAGGGAUGAAUAAAGCUUGCUUUGUUCAUUUCGAGUGGCGGACGGGUGAGUAACGCGUGAGGAACCUGGCUUUUGCAGGGGGAUAGCGUCCCGAAAGAGACGGUAAUACCGCAUAAGACCACGCUACCGCAUGGUAAAGGGGUCAAAGGAGAGAUCCGGCAGAAGAUGGACUCGCGUCCCAUUAGGCAGUUGGCGGGGUAAAAGCCCACCAAACCGACGAUGGGUAGCCGACCUGAGAGGGUGAUCGGCCACAUUGGAACUGAGAGACGGUCCAAACUCCUACGGGAGGCAGCAGUGGGGAAUAUUGGGCAAUGGGCGAAAGCCUGACCCAGCAACGCCGCGUGAGGGGAGAAGGUUUUCGGAUUGUAAACCUCUGUCCCAGGAGACGAGGAGAAGACGGUAUCCUGGGAGGAAGCCCCGGCUAACUACGUGCCAGCAGCCGCGGUAAUACGUAGGGGGCGAGCGUUGUCCGGAAUGAUUGGGCGUAAAGGGCGUGUAGGCGGCCUGUUAAGUCUGGAGUGAAAGUCCAAGUUUCAAGCUUGGAAUUGCUUUGGAUACUGGGAGGCUGGAGUGCAGGAGAGGUUAUCGGAAUUCCCGGUGUAGCGGUGAAAUGCGUAGAGAUCGGGAGGAACACCAGUGGCGAAGGCGGGUAACUGGACUGCAACUGACGCUGAGGCGCGAAAGUGUGGGGAGCAAACAGGAUUAGAUACCCUGGUAGUCCACACUGUAAACGAUGAAUGCAAGGUGUUGGAGGUAUCGACCCCUUCAGUGCCGGAGUCAACACAAUAAGCAUUCCGCCUGGGGAGUACGGCCGCAAGGUUGAAACUCAAAGGAAUUGACGGGGGCCCGCACAAGCAGCGGAGCAUGUGGUUUAAUUCGACGCAACGCGAAGAACCUUACCAGGUCUUGACAUCCAUUACAAGGUGCAGAGAUGCGCUGUGAGCUUGCUCGAGAAUGAGACAGGUGGUGCAUGGUUGUCGUCAGCUCGUGUCGUGAGAUGUUGGGUUAAGUCCCGCAACGAGCGCAACCCUUGUUUGCAGUUACUAACACGUAGUGGUGAGGACUCUGCAGAGACUGCCGGGGACAACUCGGAGGAAGGUGGGGACGACGUCAAAUCAUCAUGCCCCUUAUGACCUGGGCUACACACGUGCUACGAUGGCCGUAACAAAGAGGAGCGAGCCCGAGAGGGUAAGCGGAUCUCAAAAAAGCGGUCUCAGUUCGGAUUGUGGGCUGCAACCCGCCCACAUGAAGUCGGAGUUGCUAGUAAUCGCGGAUCAGCAUGCCGCGGUGAAUACGUUCCCGGGCCUUGUACACACCGCCCGUCACACCAUGGGAGUUGAUAGCACCCAAAAUAUGUGAGGUAACCGCAAGGAGCCAGCAUCCUAAGGUGAGAUCAAUGACUGGGGUGAAGUCGUAACAAGGUA